rnacentral:rRNA from 1 species
GGGGGGGGGGGGGGGGGGGGGGGGGGGGGGGGGGGCGGGGGGGGGGGGGGGGGCGGCGCUGGUGGCGGGGGGCGAGCGGGUGGGUAAUGCGUCGGAGCGUGCCCGGUCGGGGGGGGUAACGUCGCGAAAGGUACGCUAAUACCGCAUACGAUCUGGGGCUGCAAGCGGGGGACCUUCGGGCCUCGCGCGAUCGGAGCGUCCGAUGUCCGAUGAGGUAGUUGGUGGGGUAAAGGCCUACCAAGCCGACGAUCUGUAGCUGGUCUGAGAGGACGACCAGCCACACUGGGACUGAGACACGGCCCAGACUCCUACGGGAGGCAGCAGUGGGGAAUUUUGGACAAUGGGCGCAAGCCUGAUCCAGCCAUUCCGCGUGCAGGACGAAGGCCUUCGGGUUGUAAACUGCUUUUGUACGGAACGAAAAGGCUCUGGCUAAUACCUGGGGCUCAUGACGGUACCGUAAGAAUAAGCACCGGCCAACUACGUG